AGCCACGCCGUAAACGAUGCGACUUGGAGGUUGUGCCCUUGAGCGUGCUUCCGGAGUAACGCGUUAAGCGACCCGCCUGGGGAGUACGGCCGCAAGGUUAAAACUCAAAUGAAUUGACGGGGGCCCGCACAAGCGGUG
rnacentral:rRNA from 1 species